UACGUAGGGGGCAAGCGUUGUCCGGAUUUAUUGGGCGUAAAGAGCGUGUAGGCGGCCAGGUAGGUCAGCUGUGAAAACUCGAGGCUCAACCUCGAGAUGUCGGCUGAAACCAUCUGGCUAGAGUCCGGAAGAGGAGAAUGGAAUUCCCGGUGUAGCGGUGAAAUUCGUAGAUAUCGAGAGGAACACCGGUGGCGAAGGCGGCUACCUGGACGGUGACUGACGCUGAGACGCGAAAGCGUGGGGAGCAAACAGG
rnacentral:rRNA from 1 species